rnacentral:rRNA from 1 species
UAGAGUUUGAUCCUGGCUCAGAUUGAACGCUGGCGGCAUGCCUAACACAUGCAAGUCGAACGGUAACAGGUCUUCGGAUGCUGACGAGUGGCGGACGGGUGAGUAAUGCGUAGGAAUCUGUCUUUUAGUGGGGGACAACCCAGGGAAACUUGGGCUAAUACCGCAUGAGCCCUGAGGGGGAAAGCGGGGGAUCUUCGGACCUCGCGCUAAGGGAGGAGCCUACGUCUGAUUAGCUAGUUGGUAGGGUAAAGGCCUACCAAGGCGACGAUCAGUAGCUGGUCUGAGAGGACGACCAGCCACACUGGGACUGAGACACGGCCCAGACUCCUACGGGAGGCAGCAGUGGGGAAUUUUUCGCAAUUGGGGGCAAGCCCUGACGAAGCAAUGCCGCGUGGAUGAAGAAGGCCUUCGGGUUGUAAAGUCCUUUCGUGGAGGACGAAAAGGCGGGUUCUAAUACAAUCUGCCUGGUUGGACGUGAAUCCAAGAAGAAGCACCGGCUAACUCCGUGGCCAGCAGCCGCGGUAAUACG